CCAAGUAGGCCUUAUUUGCAAAGACAAGCUAAUUUCCCUAAUAGUGGACCUUUGGGAUCCAUCAAAAGCUUUAACGUUGAUGGCUCUGUCCUCGAUCUCAUGUUGACUCUUUCCUAAUGUCCUGAGUGUCACCAACAGAAAAAUGUUGAGGCUGGACCCUCCGUCAAUCAGGAUCCUGGUGAAUAAAUAAUCUUCACACUGCACGGUGACGUGGAAUGCCUUGUGGUGACUCAACCCCUCUGGCGGCAGCUCAUCUUUAUGAAAAGUGAUAUUGACUUUCUAAUACCUGGCCAACCAUGUUAGCCAUCUCUCUGCCGGUGAUGUUACUUAGUACAUAUACCUCACUCAACACUCUUGUCAAGGCAUUCUUGUGUCCAUCGGAACUUUGUAGCAAAGCAAGGAUAGAAAUUUGUGCUGGUGUUUUGUUAAACUAAUCAAUGAUUGAGUAUUCUUUGGCUUGUAUCUUUCUCCAUAGAUCGCGGGCCCAGUUUCAGUGAUGUUUGGCCGACUAGAGGCCUGUUUGUUCGAUUCGGCUAAAUAUUACGGGGCACAAGCCCUGCCGAUUCUUAUCAUACCUAUUGCCGCAAUGGCUUCCCAAACUUGACCUUCCCUUUUAUUUUGGUCUCGGCUAUGUAGUCCUAAGGUAUGGCAUUUUGUGGUAUGGUAUUACUGCUGACAUUGCCACUAGAAUUGGCUUGGCUAUCUUUACUUCAAUCGGAGCAUGCCCCAUAGGUGGUAAAACUGCAACUUUAAAAGGUGUAGGUGCGUUUGCUGGUGACAUAAACUCAACCUCAAUCGGCGCUGGCGCCUUUAUA
rnacentral:lncRNA from 1 species